rnacentral:rRNA from 1 species
UACAGAGGUCCCAAGCGUUGUUCGGAUUCACUGGGCGUAAAGGGUGCGUAGGCGGCGGGGUAAGUCUGAUGUGAAAUCUCCGAGCUUAACUCGGAAAUGGCAUUGGAAACUAUCAUGCUUGAGGGUUGGAGGGGGGACUGGAAUACUUGGUGUAGCAGUGAAAUGCGCAGAUAUCAGGAGGAACACCAGUGGCGAAGGCGCCGCUCUGGGCCGUGACUGACGCUGAGGAGCGAAAGCGUGGGUAGCAAACAGG